UGAAAGGAUAGUUUGUAAAUGUAAAUAUUUUCAUGUAAUUUAGCUUUUUUUUUUUUUUACACUAAAACAAAGACAAACAUUUGGAGCUGUCAUUAUUUAUUGGUUAUUUUGAUAGUAUUUUUCUAGUCUGACUCACUUGAGACCAAAUUGGGUUGUAUGUGGUCCCUAAAAUAUUUUGAC